CAGUAGUCACGAGUUUGAUCCUGGCUCAGAACGAACGCUGGCGGCAUGCCUAACACAUGCAAGUCGAACGAGACCUUCGGGUCUAGUGGCGCACGGGUGCGUAACGCGUGGGAACCUGCCUUUAGGUUCGGAAUAACUCAGAGAAAUUUGAGCUAAUACCGGAUAAUGUCUUCGGACCAAAGAUUUAUCGCCUUUAGAUGGGCCCGCGUUGGAUUAGCUAGUUGGUGGGUAAAGGCCUACCAAGGCGACGAUCCAUAGCUGGUCUGAGAGGAUGAUCAGCCACACUGGGACUGAGACACGGCCCAGACACCUACGGGAGGCAGCAGUGGGGAAUAUUGGACAAUGGGCGAAAGCCUGAUCCAGCAAUGCCGCGUGAGUGAUGAAGGCCUUAGGGUUGUAAAGCUCUUUUACCCGAGAUGAUAAUGACAGUAUCGGGAGAAUAAGCUCCGGCUAACUCCGUG
rnacentral:rRNA from 1 species